ACACUAGUAGGGGAGUGGGAAGUGAGAUAAGGAAGGGAAGAAUGACUGUAAAGAGUGUCUUUUCUGGCAGAUUACUUCUGUGAGCAACUGGGUCUCUCAGUUCUUUGGGAGCACCCUGGGAAACAGUGUGGCUAUGACUUGGAGCUGCUCACCAGUUCCAGUCAUUCUGUGGUUGAGAGCUGCUCCCUAUGGAUGUUAAUUCUUCUCUAUUUUAGAUUUUCCACAGGUGUGGGCCCCAUUAGCUCUGGCCACCUGAGAAAGCCCUCAGGCAAAGAGUCGCAGGUGAAAGCCAGCAGUUAGAGGUUCACAGAAAUGAGUGCAGAAGCAUCUUCAGUUGGAGAGCCAUUGCCUCUUGCUGUGAAAUAUUUGGGAAUCUUCAGAAACCAUGAAGAAUAACCUGCUAAAGGGUUUUAUUUUGUCAGUCAAGCUGGAAUGCAGUGGCGUGAACAUUGCUUACUGCAGCUUCAAUCUCCUGAGGUCAAACAAUCUUCUCACCUCAGCCUCGCAAGCAGCUAGGACUACAGGCAUGUGCCACCACGCCCCACUAAUUUUUUAAUUUUUCUUUUGUGGAGACGCAGUCUUGUUAUCUUGAACAGGCUGGUCUUGAACUCUUGGAGUCAAGCAAUCCUUCUGCCUCAGACUCUCAAAGUGCUGGGAUUACAGGCAUGAGCCACCACAUUCAGCCAGGAAAAGUUUUUGUACAUUUAAAAAAUUAUAGGAUAUUUGUGUAUAUAGCUUUGCUGGUUUGACUUCCUAGAAUAGCUCCCAGGAACACAAAGUACUUAAUUGAUUAGUAUAAAAUGAUUAUGUCAUACUCACAUGUUGGUUUUCUAAAUGCACUUAAUUUUUCUGAUUAAGAACUGAAAACUAUGCUGACCAGGGACACUGUAGACCUGUGGCUCAUUUUUGCAUAAAGGUUAUGUGUUUAUUGUCUGAUUUGGUCAUGCCUAUAGGCCAAUAGUGUUUUAUUUUGAAAUGUUUCAAACUUACAAUAAGGCACAAAAAUAAUAUAAUAGACACCAUGGUCUCAGCAUCCAGAUUUAAGAGAUGUUAAGAUGUUACUACGUUUGCUUCAGACUUUUCUAACACACACACAAAAUACUAGAGAUGCAGCCAAAACCCCAUCUAUCAAUCCCUUCCUCUUCUCUCCAGAGGUAGCUAUUACAUUGAAGUCGGUAUGUAAUAUUUCCAUGUUUGGCUUUGUACAUGUUCUACUUAUGUAUGUAUUCAUUAACUUCGUACUACUUUUUAAUGUUCUUAUAUAGUUUCAUUAGUAACAUCCCAGAGGGCAUAUCAUUUGUGAGUUUGAUUUUCUCACUCUUCAUUUCUUUUUUGGGGAUAAUUUAUUCUUGGUACAUGUAGAUCUCCUCACUCCACUACAAUUGCUUUAUGGUACUUAAUAUAUGAAUAAACUAUGGUAUAUUUAUU
rnacentral:lncRNA from 10 species